AAAAAAAAAAUAAGUAAAAAAUAAAAGCUAGAAUCAAAUAGAGGAUAAAUCAAAUAAUGCUUAGAGUAGGUCUGAUAUCCUUAGAUACUAAGUAGAAUAUUAAAGGCGAAAGCUUUUUUCCAUUAAUGAUUGACGCUCAGAAACGAAGGUGAGGAUAGGAAAUAGGAUUAGAUACCCAAAAUACCCCUCUCUGUCAACGAUGAAUGGUAGUUAUUAGUAAUAAAUUUAUUAAUGGCAAUGUUAACACGAUAACCAUUCCGCCUUGUGAGUACAACUGCAAAGUUGAAAACAAAAAAAUUAGUCGGUUUCGGAGCAAA
rnacentral:rRNA from 1 species